rnacentral:lncRNA from 1 species
GAAUUGAAAUUAGGUUAGGAGACUUACCAAUAUGCCUUGGAUUUGACUCUAGGGCAACAACCAUCUCCACCAAUUCUUCUUGAAUAGGCACGGCAAGGUGUUCCUUGUUGUUGCCGUGUGCAUGCCUAAGUGCUAACCCUUCGUUUUUUAGUCCAAUGCUUUGCGUGAGAGUCUUUUCAAGUGCAUCCUCACUCAAAUCAACAAGGAAUUCCUGCGCCAAAGAGUCAAUCACAUCAAUAGAGAAACAAGAGUGACCAUCAUGAGGAUAUCUCAUAGCAUCAGAAAUAUUGAAAUCAAGAACUUCCCCAUCAAAUCCAUGGUCAAUGUUCCCUUGAAUACAUCUAUCUUUGUACAGGCAGUCUUCAUGAAUGGUCAGCCAAGUAAGAUUGGUAAUUGAG